CGCUACACAUGCAAGUCGAACGGUUAAAGCACCUUUUAGGUGUGUAUAAAGUGGCGAACGGCUGAGUAACACGUGGGCAACCUGCCCUCCUCUUGGGGAUAGCCUCGGGAAACCGAGGAUAAUACCCGAUACUUCAAUGUGGCCGCAUGACGACAUUGAGAAAGCUUUUGCGGAGAAGGAUGGGCCCGCGGCCUGUUAGCUUGUUGGUGGGGUAGAGGCCUACCAAGGCAAUGAUGGGUAGCUGGGUUGAGAGACCGACCAGCCAGAUUGGGACUGAGACACGGCCCAGACUCCUACGGGAGGCAGCAGUGGGGAAUCUUGCACAAUGGGCGAAAGCCUGAUGCAGCGACGCCGCGUGCGGGACGAAGGCCUUCGGGUUGUAAACCGCUUUCAGCAGGGACGAGGCGAAAGUGACGGUACCUGCAGAAGAAGCCCCGGCUAACUACGUGCCAGCAGCCGCGGUAAUACGUAGGGGGCAAGCGUUAUCCGGAUUCAUUGGGCGUAAAGCGCUCGUAGGCGGUCUGUUAGGUCGGGAGUUAAAUCCGGAGGCUCAACCUCCGCCCGCUCCCGAUACCGGCAGACUUGAGUUUGGUAGGGGAAGGUGGAAUUCCUAGUGUAGCGGUGGAAUGCGCAGAUAUUAGGAAGAACACCAGUGGCGAAGGCGGCCUUCUGGGCCAUAACUGACGCUGAGGAGCGAAAGCUAGGGGAGCAAACAGGAUUAGAUACCCUGGUAGUCCUAGCUGUAAACGAUGGACACUAGGUGUGGGAGAAUACGUCUUCCGUGCCGCAGCUAACGCAUUAAGUGUCCCGCCUGGGGAGUACGGCCGCAAGGCUAAAACUCAAAGGAAUUGACGGGGACCCGCACAAGCAGCGGAGCAUGUGGUUUAAUUCGAAGCAACGCGAAGAACCUUACCAGGGCUUG
rnacentral:rRNA from 1 species